rnacentral:rRNA from 1 species
AUUGAACGCUGGCGGCAUGCUUUACACAUGCAAGUCGGACGGCAGCACGGAGAAGCUUGCUUCUUGGGUGGCGAGUGGCGAACGGGUGAGUAACAUAUCGGAACGUACCGAGCAGUGGGGGAUAACUAAUCGAAAGAUUAGCUAAUACCGCAUAUCUUCUGAGGAAGAAAGCAGGGGACCAUUUGGCCUUGCGCUGUUUGAGCGGCCGAUAUCUGAUUAGCUAGUUGGUGGGGUAAAGGCCUACCAAGGCGACGAUCAGUAGCGGGUCUGAGAGGAUGAUCCGCCACACUGGGACUGAGACACGGCCCAGACUCCUACGGGAGGCAGCAGUGGGGAAUUUUGGACAAUGGGCGCAAGCCUGAUCCAGCCAUGCCGCGUGUCUGAAGAAGGCCUUCGGGUUGUAAAGGACUUUUGUCAGGGAAGAAAAGGGCGGGGUUAAUACCCCUGUCUGAUGACGGUACCUGAAGAAUAAGCACCGGCUAACUACGUG